UAUAUAUAGUACAAGGUAUACGUAAUAGUAUAUUCACAAAAUAGAAUAGUAUCUCUCACAAAUCUCUCAAAAUCAAAAUCGAUUUAUUGGCUAUUUUCUAUUGGAAUUUCUACCAUCGUAAACCCUUUAUCGCUUAUAGAUCUAAGAAAUCCAUAACAUGAUCGUCAAUUUGUUGG
rnacentral:sRNA from 1 species